GGGAGGAUUCAACCCCUACUGCCAUACCACCACCAUCUGACCCUGGCGUCAUGGGCCAGCAUAAGAAAAUGGCAUUACUUUUGGAGCAGCCCUCAGAGAACUGCAGCACACCACCAUAUUUCCUCUCGGCCGUUGUCCCUUCACACCAGGAGCGUUUCCCUUCCUUGUCCCUGAAAUAGCGUUCCACCAACAGCUGGCUGAAAGGACAUCGAGUGCACCUGCUCUACUUAGGCACAGACUACGAAACCAGAAUUAAAAAGCAGAAACUAUUCAAGACUCCAUCAGAGCUCUUCUCAGAAAGACAGCACCUCCUUAGGGGAAAAGCAAAUAUUCUGCUUGGUAUAUGCCAUGUACAAACAGCACCACCAGAGGCAAU